rnacentral:rRNA from 1 species
UGGGGAAUAUUGCACAAUGGGGGAAACCCUGAUGCAGCGACGCCGCGUGAGCGAAGAAGGCUUUCGAGUCGUAAAGCUCUGUCCUAUGAGAAGAUAAUGACGGUAUCAUAGGAGGAAGCCCUGGCUAAAUACGUGCCAGCAGCCGCGGUAAUACGGAAGGUCCAGGCGUUAUCCGGAUUUAUUGGGUUUAAAGGGAGUGUAGGCGGUUGGUUAAGCGUGUUGUGAAAUGUAGAUGCUCAACAUCUGACUUGCAGCGCGAACUGGCUGACUUGAGUACACACAACGUAGGCGGAAUUCAUGGUGUAGCGGUGAAAUGCUUAGAUAUCAUGAAGAACUCCGAUUGCGAAGGCAGCUUACGGGAGUGUUACUGACGCUUAAGCUCGAAGGUGCGGGUAUCGAACAGG